UAAAAUAAUUAAGGGCACACAAAGGAUGCCUAGGUAGUAAGAGCCGAUGAAGGACGUGGUAAGCUGCGAUAAGCCUAGAUAAGUUGCAAUCGAACGUAAGAGUCUAGGAUUUCCGAAUGGAGCAAUCUAUUAAGAUGGAGUCUUAAUACGAAAGAGGGAACCGCGUGAACUGAAACAUCUAAGUAACGCGAGGAAAAGAAAGUAAAAACGAUACCCAAAGUAGCGGCGAGCGAAAUGGGUCAAGCCUAAACCUUAAAUAUGUCAAGGAUACAGCCGUUGUAUUUAAGGGGUUGUGGGACAGAGUGAUGAAGAACUGUAAGAUAUUCAAUAUAGUGUAUUGAUGAAUUAGAAUUGUCUGGAAAGGUGAACCGCAGAAGGUGAAAGUCCUGUAUAAGUAAAUCCUUACACAUAUAACUUUGCUCCCAAGUAACAUGGAACACGAGGAAUUCUGUGUGAAUCAGUGAGGACCAUAUCUCAUAAGGCUAAAUACUCUUACUAACCGAUAGCGCAUAGUACCGUGAGGGAAAGGUGAAAAGAACCCCUGGAGGGGAGUGAAAUAGAACCUGAAAUUGUGUGCUUACAAGCGGUCAGAGCCCAUUUGGGUGAUGGCGUGCCUUUUGGAGAAUGAUCCUGCGAGUUACGUUAAACGGCGAGGUUAAGUAUAACGGAGCCGAAGGGAAACCAAGUCUUAAUAGGGCGAUUUAGUCGUUUGGCGUAGACGCGAAACCUGGUGAUCUAAACCUGUCCAGGAUGAAGCUGUGGUAAGACACAGUGGAGGUCCUAACCCACCGCCGUUGAAAAGUUGGGGGAUGAGGUAGGUUUAGGGGUGAAAAGCCAAUCGAACCAGGAGAUAGCUCGUUCUCUCCGAAAUGCAUCUAGGUGCAGCCUUGAGUGUUCAAUUAUGGGGGUAGAGCACUGAAUGAUCUAGGGGGCAUAUUGCUUACUGAAAUCAAUCAAACUCCGAAUACCAUAAUUUAUAGCUCAGGAGUGAGACUAUGGGAGUUAACUUCCAUUGUCAAAAGGGAAACAACCCAGACCACCAGCUAAGGUCCCUAAUUAUAACUAAGUGGGAAAGGAGGUGGAGAUUCACAAACAACUAGGAGGUUGGCUUAGAAGCAGCCAUACCUUUAAAGAGUGCGUAAUAGCUCACUAGUCGAGAGUCUCUGCGCCGACAAUGUAACGGGGCUAAGUUAUAAACCGAAGCUGUGGAAUCCGUAAGGAUUGGUAGGAGAGCGUUCUGUAGGCCGUUGAAGAAGAAGGGUAACCGACUUUGGAGGUAUCAGAAGUGAGAAUGCAGGAAUAAGUAGCGAGAAAGGGGGCGAGAAUCCCCCUCGCCGGAAGACCAAGGUUUUCAGGGUAAAGCUUGUCUUCCCUGAGUAAGCCGGGACCUAAGCCCAGGCUAUAAUGCGUAGGCGAAUGGAAAACAGAUUAAUAUUUCUGUGCCAGUCAUAUAUUGUGAUGGAGGGACGCAGAAGGGUAUGCGCGCGGACGAACGGAAGUGUCCGUAGAAGUAUGUAGGGUGACUUAGUAGGUAAAUCCAUUAAGUUAUAUCUGAGGUAUGAUAUACAGUCGUAAGAUGAAUGCGCAAAUCCCACGCUGCCAAGAAAAGCUUCUAACGUUAAUAUUUGACUGCCCGUACUGCAAACCGACACAGGUGGUCAGGAUGAGAAAUCUAAGGCGGACAGGCUAACUCUCGUUAAGGAACUCUGCAAAAUAACCUCGUAACUUCGGGAGAAGAGGAGCCCUUGGGUGUUAGUAUCCAUGCGAUACAAAGCGCUCGAGGGUCGCAGUGAAGAGGCUCAAGCAACUGUUUAACAAAAACACAGGUCUAUGCUAAGCUGGAAGGCGAUGUAUAUGGGCUGACACCUGCCCAGUGCUGGAAGGUUAAGAGGAGGAGUGAGAGCUCCGAAUUGAAGCCCCAGUGAACGGCGGCCGUAACUAUAACGGUCCUAAGGUAGCGAAAUUCCUUGUCGGGUAA
rnacentral:rRNA from 1 species